rnacentral:rRNA from 1 species
GGUAACGCGGGGCGAGCAGCGGGGGUGAGACAGGGGUCCCAAGGGUUGUGCGGAUUCACUGGGCGUAAAGGGUGCGUAGGGGGUCGGGUAAGUCUGAUGUGAAAUCUCGCAGCUCAACUGCGAAACUGCAUUGGAUACUAUCCGGCUCGAGGAAUGGAGGGGAGACUGGAAUACUUGGUGUAGCAGUGAAAUGCGUAGAUAUCAAGUGGAACACCAGUGGCGAAGGCGAGUCUCUGGACAUUUCCUGACGCUGAGGCACGAAAGCCAGGGGAGCAAACGGGAUUAGAUACCCCUGUAGUC